GAUGAACGCUGGCGGCGUGCUUAACACAUGCAAGUCGAACGAAGAUGCCGGAGUGCUUGCACUUUGGCAGACUGAGUGGCGGACGGGUGAGUAACGCGUGGGUAACCUGCCUUAUACAGGGGGAUAACAGUUGGAAACGACUGCUAAUACCGCAUAAGCGCACGGUAUCGCAUGAUACAGUGUGAAAAACUCCGGUGGUAUAAGAUGGACCCGCGUCUGAUUAGCUUGUUGGUGAGGUAACGGCCCACCAAGGCGACGAUCAGUAGCCGGCCUGAGAGGGUGAACGGCCACAUUGGGACUGAGACACGGCCCAAAACUCCUACGGGAGGCAGCAGUGGGGAAUAUUGCACAAUGGGGAAACCCGUACGAUGCAG
rnacentral:rRNA from 1 species